rnacentral:rRNA from 1 species
UACGAAGGGGGCUAGCAUUGCUCGGAGUCACUGGGCGUAAAGGGUGCGUAGGCGGGUCUUUAAGUCAGGGGUGAAAUCCUGGAGCUCAACUCCAGAACUGCCUUUGAUACUGAAGAUCUUGAGUUCGGGAGAGGUGAGUGGAACUGCGAGUGUAGAGGUGAAAUUCGUAGAUAUUCGCAAGAACACCAGUGGCGAAGGCGGCUCACUGGCCCGAUACUGACGCUGAGGCACGAAAGCGUGGGGAGCAAACAGG